rnacentral:piRNA from 1 species
UGAGGAGUGCCUCUACCCGGCUGCGACCCCC